AGGAAUGGCAACAACUUGUCUGGGUGAUUUGAUUCUAUACACAUGAACCUCAUCUCUUUAGAGGCAGAAUGAUGACUUGGUCAAGAUAGGUACUACACACACCCCUCCCUGGAUCAUUUGUAACAGAGGAUGGAGACACAAGUGUUGAUUUGAGCUUAUUCUGGUAAAAGAAAAUGUCAAGCUGACAAGCUAAGGAUGCUCUCGAUCACGUGGGAUGUGGCCAUGGCUGCAGCCCAGGAUUUCUGGUCAGGAUCUCUGCAUCCGUGAGUACUCGAGGUUCCUGAAGCUAAGGCCGCUGUUCCGAGAGGAGGGGGGAGGAGGUAGCACGCGUCAAGGGAUCUCCAUUUCUCUUUCGAUGCCCACGUACUUCAGGGCGUCGGCCUGGCUGUAUCUGAAACAGCAGGAGGAACAGAACUUGACAGUAUAAAAUGCUAGCCGGAUGCCCAGCAGCAUAAGCAAUCCCCUGGAACCUGUGCUCAGCACCCUGACAGCAGGCAUGGACCCUGAAGGUAAAAAUGGAGCUUUCUGCAUUUUUUGAACGUUCAGAAAGCAUGACUUUAUCCUGAAAACGCCAUUACCCAACAGUUCACCCUAGCCCCCAGCACCACCUGUGGCAAAUCACCAGCCCGACGGAAGCCGGCCUCUGGCCAGAGCUCAGCGUCCCGGAAGAAAAGCCCUCAGAUACU